rnacentral:lncRNA from 13 species
AUUUACAAUCUACGCAGGCGAGGUUGCGUAGUAUGAUGACGUGCGGAACAGAGCUGCCGAGCUCUCAUGCAUUUGAUCCUCUUCUCACGCCACACCUCUUAAAUCUUAAACGCAUUGAAAAGUACCGCUUUUUUUCUUAGCUUUUUCGAAUGACUCAAUUGUACAGUCAGUGCGUUUUCUUUUCAGCUGUCCUCCGCAUCGUUUUGAAAUCGGAGCAUCUGCGCUUGCAUUUAAACAUCACGAGCCACCCUGGUCUCAGAGAAUUUCGUAUUAUUAUGUAGAAGAGGUGGAUGAAGGGUUGCCCUCCCAGCAGCCAUGAUGCCCUGAAGAGCUGACUGGAGUCUGUACCAGAACCUAGGUACUGUGACACACACGCACACACUGUGACGCGCACUCACACACCGAAAAACACGCACAGACAUACAACGUGACACACUUACACACACCCCCACACCGAGACACACACAUUCCCUUGAAAAAUCCUGAGAUGCACAGUGUCCUAUUUUACUUGUGUGUUUACUGCCAGUCUUAACCUUGUACAAAAUUACUGAUCGUUAACUGCUCUGUCUCACACACUUCUGUCGUGGACGUGUUCUCUCUUGCAGUCGAGUCGGUUCGACAUCUCACUAUGGGACACGCCCUCUUUUGAGGGUCAUUGGUUGAAGCCUUAUUCAAUCAUGCCUAACAGGCAAAUCAGAGCUUUAUGGAUGUAAUCACNNNNNNNNNNUGUGGGUUUAAUGGCAUUUAACUGUCCCUCAGUGUUCUGCUGAGGGUUUAAUGGCAUUUAGCUGUCCCCUAGUGUUCUGCUGAGGGUUUAAUGGCAUUUAGCUGUCCCUCAGUGUUCUGCUGAGGGUUUAAUGGCAUUUAACUGUCCCUUAGUGUUCUGCUGAGGGUUUAAUGGCAUUUAGCUGUCCCCUAGUGUUCUGCUGAGGGUUUAAUGGCAUUUAGCUGUCCCUUAGUGUCCUGCUGAGGGUUUAAUGGCAUUUAACUGUCCCUUAAUGUUCUCUAUCAACCUAAUAAACCUGUAUUUCAAGUCAAUACUACCAUGAAGUGAAACCGUGACUGAGUGUUUCUUGCCAGGGGGAGAUGGAUGAUUCAUUCAGGUAGGGUUGUUUGAGUGGUUGAAGUAGUCUACAGUUUGAUAGUCAAUGGCUUUCUGACAGUCACCAAAUUAUCAUUGGUGUCGAAAGCUGUGUGUAAUCAGCUGUUCUUUCCCUUUUGUCAUAUCAAAUCUUUAGAGUUUCUCAAUUAACCUAAUUUACCAGUGUUAACACAAGUCAAGAAUCGUGUGUGUGUGUGUGUGUGUNNNNNNNNNNUAAUAAAUGUACCUGCUUGGAACAGGCUAGAUUAAGGGCUUCAGAUAUGACAGCCAAUGGGGGCUUAGUGUUCUGCUGUGGGUUGAAUGGCAUUUAGCUGUCCCCUAGUGUUCUGCUGAGGGUUUAAUGGCAUUUAGCUGUCCCUUAGUGUCCUGCUGAGGGUUUAAUGGCAUUUAGCUGUCCCUUAGUGUCCUGCUGAGGGUUUAAUGGCAUUUAGCUGUCCCUUAGUGUUCUGCAGAGGGUUUAAUGGCAUUUAACUGUCCCCUAGUGUUCUGCUGAGGGUUGAAUGGCAUUUAGCUGUCCCCUAGUGUUCUGCUGAGGGUUUAAUGGCAUUUAGCUGUC